rnacentral:sRNA from 1 species
UCAAGUUUCUGGAGGGUUAGGUGCUUUAUCUCUCACUGAAGCCAGACCAGGGAGCCCUGUGCUGUGUAUAUGUUGGGGACCUUGGACCAGCCCCUCUGUGUGGCUCAGUGUCUGAGCAUAGAGGUCCAGGUCAGUGGAGACUGCUGGUCUUCCUCUGGAGUCACCCUUCUCCUCUCAUAUUCUUUCUACCUACUCUUCCACAUGUUCCCAGAAACCUAGAGGGUAUAAAUGUCUUGUUUAGAGCUCAAAGUUAAUCCAUCAUUUGUUUUUAGUAAAUUUUAUAGCUGCAAGUUUCUGCAUUCAUUUUUAGAAAGAAGGGUUCCUCUGUCUAAAGCCGAGUAUAAUAUUGUGUAUGUAUAUAAGCAUAAAUAUUUAGAAGGCAGCUUGAUUCAACUUACUGAAACAGUAAUAUUCUGUCCUUUCCCUUGAGUCCAUGCAUAUUUGACCAAGUUUACAGUGUUCAAGCCUGCAUUCCUCUCUGUGGAGUGGGUCUGAAAUCCAUGCAGAGAAUAUUUGGCUGGUCCCAUAGCAGUAGUGUCACUAUGGCACAAAUUGGCACACCUUGUCACACAUUCAUCUCCUAAGUCAGUGGGUAAAGAUCAUUGAUGCUUUUUCUCUUUCCCUCCACACUUCCUAGGAACUUGUGUUGCACCUUCUGGAACUACAACAGAUAAGGAAGACGAUUUCAGCUCCAUUCCAACUGGAUUUCUCUAUAUCAAAGUAUUCAUGGAGGGCAACUAUGUGCUUGGGAGUUUGUGAAGGGUCUUGGAUAUAAGGCUGAGAAAAAUGAGAUGCUCCCCCUCCCACCUACCCACUCCUACCUC